rnacentral:tRNA from 1 species
AUUACUUAAAAUUUCCUGUCUAGUAUUUUAUUUUGUAAAUAAAAGUUUAAUAAGGAAUA